rnacentral:rRNA from 1 species
UACGUAGGGUGCAAGCGUUAUCCGGAAUUAUUGGGCGUAAAGAGCUCGUAGGCGGUUUGUCGCGUCUGCUGUGAAAACCCGAGGCUCAACCUCGGGCCUGCAGUGGGUACGGGCAGACUAGAGUGCGGUAGGGGAGAUUGGAAUUCCUGGUGUAGCGGUGGAAUGCGCAGAUAUCAGGAGGAACACCGAUGGCGAAGGCAGCUCGCUGGGACGGUACUGACGCUGAGGCGCGAAAGCGUGGGGAGCGAACAGG